UGAGGUGGGGAAUAGGAUUCUGUUUCUGAAGAUGAUUUCAAACAUGAUAAUAUAAUAUGACGCUGAUGGGUGGGACUAUAUUUAUUCCAUUUCUCGUGUUUCUAAUUGUAUUUUGGGUUUUGAGGAACAAUAUUGGAUAAGCAUUGACUUUUUGGCUUUUCAUAAAUGAUUCCGAGUCUUUUGGUUUUGCUAAUGAUAAAGGUGGGUUCCUUCCUCAUGAAACACGAGGAAACACUCUCAAAGCAUGUAUAUAUUUAUAUUAUAUCUCUCUUGCCAAUUACCAUCCAUGGCUAUAAUUGUUAACACAGCAAGUACUCGCUGCUGGGGUGGUGGGGAUGUUGUCUGGUAAAAAGCUGUUUGGCAAUGAAAACGUGGUGGCCCCCCACAGCACCAACAGUAAAAGUCAUUCUCUAGGCCUUGUGGGAAGAAACAUGACAAUAGUAUGUAUUGUUUUUGCUUUUCAACCCAGACACGGUUUCUCUAUGCUUCAGCUUUGGCACUCUUUUGCAUGCCCUUUCUGUUUCCUCUCUCUAUGGUUGAACUAUCUAUCUAUCAGUGUUAUUUUGGGAUGAUAGUUUAGUGUUUUGUAUAUCUAAAUCAUCAAUUUUCUUUCUUAAAGUA